CAAAAACAUGUCAUCAGCAAGAUCUGAGAUGAUUGGUGUCAGUUCUGGUGAAGUGACAUGCAAUACCCCAAUUUCCAUUUGGCAGCAGUUUUAACUGAAUAAGCUGCCUUGAGUCAUUGCUUUGAAUAUGUUGAUUUCACUUAACUGGCUUCACCUCCAAAAUAUUUUUGUUUUUCAUUUGGUAGAUCAAAGUAAUUUGUGCUGUGUCUGCCGCAUCCAUUUUGACAAGAAGAACGCUACAAAGAAGUGGCUUUCAUGAUGCCAAUCAUGGUUACACACUGCAUGUAGUUUUAAAAGCAACAUGUGCCUUCACUGCCAGUGUCACAACACCCUGAAACAUGCAUCAGUGUUAGGAAACAUGUAACAUUUACGGCAUUGCAGGGUUUAUGUUUGAGUUGUUGUUGUUGUUUUUACUGUCAACUUUAAGAAGAGAACUGAAAUUUCAGUUUACCCUAAUUAAGAAGCCUGUCUGAUUUACCAUGAAUUGGGAAUUUAAGUUUAUGUAAUGAGCACCUGACCAGUGUUAAAUUUCUUUUUGGGAAAUCAGACGGGCCACUUGAGGAUGGACUGAGACACAUGGGGGAUCUGUUUUUGCUUACAGAGAGAUUAAGCCUUGUCACAACUACAACCUACAUCUACUGUUGUAGAAAAUUAUUCAACCAACAACUAUUUCAGUAGAUCAUUCAACCAAUUAUCUAAGACUUUUCAUUAUCUUUAACACACAUUUUAACACUACUAAUAAGUGGCAUAAGGUUAAGCAAUACAGUUUGCUUUAUACAGUAUAAUAGCUACAAUCAUCGCCAUUAUGAAUCUGUAUAAUAAAGGAAUAGACAUACAAGGAAACGUGCUGAUUAAUGUUAACUGGAUUACUGAUUAGUUAUAUAGCUAAUUCACAUUAAUUUACAAAGCAAGAAUAGCACAGUCCUUUUACUUAGGAAUGUACUGAGAACUUUUAUGAUAGGUGUCUGGCAAACCUUAUCUCAGACCACAUCAGGGGGUGAGAGAAGAAAGAGUGUGUUUGUUUGCAUGUGUGUGUGUGUGUGACAAAUAAGGGAGGAGAAGAUGUUUUUAGUUUCUCUUCCUUUAUUUAUACUAAUCCAGAGAGUCAAUUUAUUUUCUUAAAAUUUUGCUGUUCCUCUAUUCGCAUGACACAGCCUCAUACAAAUCAAUUAAAUUCAAUUUUAUUUAUAUAGCGCCAAUUCAUAAUACUGUCAUAGUUAGCCACUAUGCCCCCUGAUCCUCUUGUACUCUUUUGUAUCUGCCCUCCCUUCUGUUUCUUGGCUGUCCCCUGUCUGUUGUUGUCUAUGUAAGUGUGUGUCUGUGUUCUGGCUGGCUCCCCGAUCUCCCAGCUGCGGUUGAUUACCGGCACACCUGUUCUCCAUCAUCAUCUAUUACAACAGUUUAUCUACUGGGCUCAUCCACACUUCCAGCACCAGAUCGUCUUCAUACCCGUAUCUACGCCCUGCCGGUAAUCACCGUUCCAGUCAGUCCCCGGAUCCCCGAGACUUCCACUCCACGCCAGCGGUCACAACGCUCCUGUCCUCCGACUCCCGGACUUCAGUACCAGGCUUCACGGACCCAUCGCCAGGUCAGCCCAGCCUCCCGCCAUGCCAGCCAGCCCAGAACCAGUCUACGUCGUCUCCGCUUAAAGAGCCGCCAUUCAGCCUCCGUCCUGGUCCCGUCGAGUCCACGGAACGACCACGAACAACGCUGGAUACUGCAUCUUUCCCUGACAAUCACAACAAUAAAACUGUUCGAACCUUUA